AUGUCCUCCAAGCUACUUGUCUCCAUGGCAGUCCUGGCUACAUUUCUUUGUCAUGUUGUCACUGCAUUGCCCAGACUCAAAACGAGGCAACUUGCUUCAUCCCUAAACUUCAAAUCACAGAAUAGCAACGUGUGUUCCAACUAUAUGGAGGGAUGCAUUCCCUGGGAAACCAAGUGCUGCAAUAACAUGGUAUGUCUAAAUGUAGCUAGAGGCUACUGUCUCUACCCAAUGGAGAACUGCAUGUGCCAACAAGCUUACUCAGACAUUUUCUAAUGCGUCAAGAAAUUUGGGAACAAAAAAUAUGUCAAUGAGUCAGGAAUAGUUAAGACCUAUCAAUUCACUUGAGUUCAAUUAUUACAUUUAAGACAUUCAUAUUGAAGGAAAAUAAUUCUUUCUUCUUUUCUUAUUUUGUAUCUAAACCAAAUAGCAAGUAGAUGUGUUCAAAUAUUUUCGCCAAGAUAAAAUUGUUUUAUUGAACAAGAUGUGUUCUCCUUUCUACUAAAACUCCAGCAAACUAAUAAAUCAUUACUUAAUACUCAA
rnacentral:sRNA from 1 species